UGGAGAUUGAUUGCAGCUGUAUGUGAUAUCUAUUGAAAGUAACAGCAGUUUUUGCAUGAUUUAUGUAUUAUGACUAAUACAAUAUUGAUGAUUGCCGCAAGAGAAAGUGGUACUGUUUUUUCCUAGAAUGUUUGGGCUUCAUUUUUGGUUUUUUAUAAUAUAAUGGAAUCUUGUUACAUGUAAAGAUCACAUUCUAUAUCUUCAUGUUUAAG
rnacentral:misc_RNA from 1 species